UUUACAAUGGAGAGUUUGAUCCUGGCUCAGGAUGAACGCUAGCGGCAGGCUUAAUACAUGCAAGUCGAGGGGCAGCAUGGUGUGUAGCAAUACACACUGAUGGCGACCGGCAAACGGGUGCGGAACACGUACACAACUUACCCGGAACUGGGGGAUAGCCUUCCGAAAGGAAGAUUAAUACCCCAUAAGAUAGUGGAGUGGCAUCACUCAGCUAUUAAAGCUCAGGCGGUUCUGGAUGGGUGUGCGGCUGAUUAGGUAGUUGGCGGGGUAACGGCCCACCAAGCCUGCGAUCAGUAACUGGUGUGAGAGCACGACCAGUCACACGGGCACUGAGACACGGGCCCGACUCCUACGGGAGGCAGCAGUAAGGAAUAUUGGUCA
rnacentral:rRNA from 1 species